rnacentral:lncRNA from 1 species
CUGUAGUAGGGUCCACAUAGAUACUAGUCAUGCUGGUGUAGUCUAUAGCUGAGCUGGUUAAACUGUAGUAGGGUCCACAUAGAUACUAGUCAUGCUGGUGUAGUCUAUAGCUGAGCUGGUUAAACUGUAGUGGGGUCCACACAGAUACUAGUCAUGCUGGUGUAGUCUAUAGCUGAGCUGGUUAAACUGUAGUAGGGUCCACAUAGAUACUAGUCAUGCUGGUGUAGUCUAUAGCUGAGCUGGUUAAACUGUAGUAGGGUCCACAUAGAUACUAGUCAUGCUGGUGUAGUCUAUAGCUGAGCUGGUUAAACUGUAGUAGGGUCCCACAUAGAUACUAGUCGUGCUGGUGUAGUCUAUAGCUGAGCUGGUUAAACUGUAGUAGGGUCCACAUAGAUACUAGUCAUGCUGGUGUAGUCUAUAGCUGAGCUGGUUAAACUGUAGUAGGGUCCACAUAGAUACUAGUCAUGCUGGUGUAGUCUAUAGCUGAGCUGGUUAAACUGUAGUAGGGUCCACACAGAUACUAGUCAUGCUGGUGUAGUCUAUAGCUGAGCUGGUUAAACUGUAGUAGGGUCCACAUAGAUACUAGUCACGCUGGUGUAGUCUAUAGCUGAGCCGGUUAAACUGUAGUAGGGUCCACAUAGAUACUAGUCACGCUGGUGUAGUCUAUAGCUGAGCCGGUUAAACUGUAGUAGGGUCCACAUAGAUACUAGUCACGCUGGUGUAGUCUAUAGCUGAGCCGGUUAAACUGUAGUAGGGUCCACAUAGAUACUAGUCACGCUGGUGUAGUCUAUAGCUGAGCCGGUUAAACUGUAGUAGGGUCCACAUAGAUACUAGUCAUGCUGGUGUAGUCUAUAGCUGACUGGUUAAACUGUAGUAGGGUCCACAUAGAUACUAGUCAUGCUGGUGUAGUCUAUAGCUGAGCUGGUUAAACUGUAGUAGGGUCCACAUAGAUACUUCAAUAAAAGCCCCACCUCCUCUCGCUCAGCCAUUCUAACAGUGGAAGCCAGGAUCUGUGAGAAACUAUGAUAAUAAACUGUGAACAAUAAUGAAGCCAUGUUUUCUGUGUGAGUGAGGAUUUAAUUAUUUAAUUGUGUGAUAACUUUAAUUCUGUGAUAACUUUAUGUAAUACAUCCUCUGUUUCCUAACUGAAUAAACAUUUUAACAUUG